GACGAACGCUGGCGGCGUGCCUAAUACAUGCAAGUCGAACGCAGUGGGGACGGGUGAGUAACACGUGGGUAACCUCCCAUCAGAGGGGAUAACACUUGGAAACAGGUGCUAAACCGAUAUUUAUGGAUGGACCCGCGGUGCAUUAGCUAGUUGGUGAGGUAACGGCUCACCAAGGCCACGAUGCAUAGACGACCUGGGAGGGUGAUCGUCCAGACUGGGGCUGAGACACGGCAAAGAAGCCAACGGGAGGAAGCAGUAGGGAAUCGUCGGCAAUGGACGAAAGUCUGACCGAGGAACGACGAGUGAGUGAAGAAGGUUUUGGGAUCGUAAGACUCUGUGGUUAGAGAAGCGGUAGCUAAGCAGAAAGCCACGGCUAACUACGUGCCAGCAGCCGCGGUAAUAC
rnacentral:rRNA from 1 species